rnacentral:rRNA from 1 species
CUCCAAUAGCGUAUACUAAAGUUGUUGCAGUUAAAAAGCUCGUAGUUGGAUUUCUGCUGUCGGUCCUGAGUCCUUCUCGCAAGAGUCGCGUACACUGGUCUCGGCGGCAUCCUCGAGAAGACCGCGUCUUGUAUUAAUUUGCCGGGCGUGCGUAUCUCUCGUCUUUUUACUGUGAGCAAACUAGAGUGUUCAAAGCAGCU